GACCUGCAGUCUUCAAAAUGCCAGUGUCACAGGAGACAAAAUAUUAAAAGGCUGGGGAACUGUUCCAGAUUAGGGUAGACUAAAGAGACAUGAUAACUGUAAUGCAUGAUUCAUGAUUAGACCUUGGGCUGGAAAAACACUAUAAAGGACAUUAUUGGCACAAUUGAUAAAAUUUUGAUUCUGGGCUAUGUUUGCAUGCUGCUGCUGCUGCUAAGUCGCUUCAGUCGUGUCCGACUCUGUGCAACCCCAUAGACGGCAGCCCACCAGGCUCCCCCGUCCCUGGGAUUCUCCAGGCAAGAACACUGGAGUGGGUUGCCAUUUCCUUCUCCAAUGCAUGAAAGUGGAAAGUGAAAGUGAAGUUGCUCAGUCAUGUCAGACCCUCAGCGACCCCAUGGACUGCAGCCUACCAGGCUCCUCCGUCCAUGGGAUUUUCCAGCCCAUCAGGCUCCUCUGUCCAUGCGAUUCUCCAAGCAAGAAUACUGGAGCAGGUUGCCAUGCCCUCCUCCAGGGGAUCUUCCCAACCCAAGGAUUGAACCCUCAUCUCUUACAUCUCUCCUGCAUUGGCAGCCAAAAGACUCAGAGAAGAUCACUUACAGCAUUUUAGAACCAACAAUCCACUUGGUCAUUCCUCAAGGCUCCAAAAAAUAGACCUUUGAACAAUGACAGCUGGAAGAUCCUGAGGCAUCAGACACGGCUAAUAGAGGAUUCUCCUCCUGUU
ensembl:lncRNA